rnacentral:lncRNA from 1 species
CUAACUGGAAUAUUAUGAGCAGACAUUGCGAGUCGCAGGCUGUAUUUGGAAACCAGCUGCAUGUCAGGACAAGCAUGGAUUGUGGUCCCAGGAGGCUGAGAGAACACAAUGAUUAAAAUAAUUUAUUUGUAAGAUAAGAAGAAAAAAGUAUCUUUCUACUGACAAGAUUGACACCAUCUUCGGAAGUGAGCUGGAAGUGAGCUGACCGACUGGAAAGUAAACAUUCACUUUCCAAAAAUGAUGAUCAAGGAGACAUCUUUGCGAAGGGACCCGGACUUAAGGGGAGAGUUAGCGUUCCUAGCAAGGGGCUGUGAUUUUGUCCUCCCAUCACGGUUUAAGAAGAGGCUGAAGUCAUUUCAGCAGACACAGAUUCAAAAUAAACCAGAAAAAAAACCUGCAACACCAUGUCCACCUGCAGCCACCCUUCCAAGUAGUCCCCAGCCUGCCUCCCCUGUUCCUUGUGUGAGCGAUGUCGUGAAUACACCACUGUCCAUAAACAUUCCACAGUUCUACUUUCCCGAAGGACUCCCAGACACCUGCAGCAACCACGAACAGAUCCUAGGCAGAAUUGAAGCUGCUUUCAAGGAUAUUGAAGAUCAAAAAGCAGAUAUUCAUGAAAUGGGGAGAAUUGCAAAGGCCUGCGGCUGUCCACUCUAUUGGAAAGCCCCCAUGUUCAGGGCUGCAGGAGGAGAGAAGACUGGAUUUGUGACAGCACAGUCAUUCAUGGCCAUGUGGAAAA